rnacentral:lncRNA from 1 species
CAAUGAUUGGGAUAUAAACCCAGGCAUUCGAGCCGGCAAUGGCAACCCCCUUUGGGUCCCCUCCCAUUUUAUGGGAGCUCUGUUUUCACUCUAUUAGAUCUUGCAACUGCACAUUCUUCUGUUCUGUGUUUGUUACGGCUCGAGCUGAGCUUUCACUUGCCGUCCACCACUGCUGAAUGCCACCAUCGCAGACUCGCUGCUGACUUCCACCUGUCCAGGUCCGGCAGGGUGUCGGCUGUGCUCCUGAUCCAGUGAGGCGCCCAUUGCCACCCCCCAUCAAGCUAAAGGCUCGCCAUUAUUCCUGCACAGCUAAGUGCCCAGGUUCAUGCUAAUCAAGCUGAACACUAGUCGCUGGGUUCCACAGUUCUCUUCCAUGACCCACGGCUUCUAAGAGAGCUAUAACACUCACAGCAUGGCCCAAGAUUCCAUUCCUUGGAAUCAGUGAGGCCAAGAACCCCAGGUCAGAGAACAAAAGGCUUGCUGCCAUCUUGAGAGUGGAUGCCACAAUCUUGGGAGGUCUAAGAACAAGGACCCCCCCCAGUAACAUUUUGGUGAUCAUGAAGGGACCUCCAAAGUGUUUGUCUCUUCCAGAACUGAAGCUGUAAAACUACAAAUCGUUCUUCAAAUAGAGCCUCAGAUGCAGUCCAUGACUAAGAUCCACCACAGACCCCUGGAUCGGCCUGCUAGCCCAUGCUCCAAUGUUGAUGACAUUGAAGACACCCCUCCUGAGGAAAUCUCAACUGCACAACCCCUACUAUGCCCCAGUUCAGCAGGAAGCAGUUACAGUGGUCGUCGGCCAACCUCCCCAACAGCACUUGGGUUUUCCUGUUGAGAGGGGGGACUGAGAGAUAGGACUAGCUGGAUUUCCUAGGCCGACUAAGAACCCCUAAGCUUAGCUGGGAAGGUGACCGCAUCCACCUUUAAACACGGGGCUUGCAACUUAGCUCACACCCACCCCGUCAGGUAGUAAAGAGAGCUCACUAAAAUGCUAAUUAGGCUAAAAUAGGAAGUAAAGAAAUAGCCAAUCAUCUAUCACCUGAGAGCACAGGGGGAGGGACAAUGAUCGGGAUACAAACCCAGGCAUUCGAGCCGGCAACGGCAACGGCAACUCCCUUUGGGUCCCCUCCCAUUUUAUGGGAGCUCUGUUUUCACUCUAUGAAAUCUUCCAACUGCACACUCUUCUGCUCUGUGUUUGUUACAGCUCGAGCUGAGCUUUUGCUUGCCAUCCACCACUGCUGCUUGCUGCCAUCGCAGGCCCGCCGCUGACUUCCACCCCUCUGGAUCCGGCAGGGUGUCGGCUGUGCUCCUGAUCCGGCGAGGCGCCCAUUGCCGCCCCCGAUCGGGCUAAAGGCUCGGCAUCAUUCCCGCACGGCUAAGUGCCCGGUUCUUCCUAAUCGAGCUGAACACUAGUCACUGGGUUCCACGGUUCUCUUCCGUGACCCACGGCUUCUAAGAGAGCUGUAACACUCACCCCAUGGCCCAAGAUUCCAUUCCUUGGAAUCCGUGAGGCCAAGAACCCCAGGUCAGAGAACAAGAGGCUUGCCGUCAUCUUGGAAACAGCCCACCACCAUCUUGGGAGCUCUAAGCACAAGGACCCCAACCCCACCCCCCCGUAGCAAUAUGACGUAUGACACCACUUAUAUGAGAUGCCCAGAACAGGCAAAUCCACAGAGAUAGGAAGUGAGGCCGGGUGCAGUGGCGCAUGCCUGUGAUCCCUGCACUUUGGGAGGCCAAGGCAGGAGGAUCGCUUGAGCUCAGGAGUUUGAGCCUGCAGUGAGCCAUGCCUGCACCACUGUGCUCCAGCUUGGGAAAAAAAGUGAGGCCCUGUCUAAAAAAGUAAUAAUGAAAAUUAAAAUAAAGUGGUUGUCAGGGCCUGGGGGGCAGCGCUUAAGGAGUGACUGCGAAUGGGUGUGCAAUAUCCUUUUGGGUGAUGAAACGUUUCGGAGCUGGCGUAAGGAGGUGGUUGCACAGCACUGUGCACUGCGGCUGUGUUGUGCACUUCAUAAUGUUUGAUUUUGUGUCAUGUGAGUCUCACUGAAAUAAAAAAGGACGUGAGGAGGGGGAAGAAGGGAAAGGGGAGGACAAGAGCACAAAGGGUGCAUAGGAAGCUUUUGCUAAAGUCACUUUUCCUGAACACCAUUGCCCGGUAGUGUGGGAGUCCCGCCAGCCUCUCCACCAGGCCCGGGUGAGGGUGGGACGGAGGAGGCUGGGAGCUGUGGCCAGUGUGGCCUGAAGACAGUGGGAGACAGGAACUGCUAG